GGAAAAAGCCGCAACAUGAUGCUCCAUUUAAAUAUAUGUAAUGGUUAAUGUGGUUCAACAUGUUUGAGGAAGACAAUCAAAGGAGUCCAAGCUGUCGAGACAGACUGAACAACAUUACAGAACAGAAUGCAGAAGUCUGGUCGGUCUUCAAGCUACCCAAGUUCUCCCACACUAACCCACUCCUCCUCACUGGCUUUGGUGGCGACUUGAUUCCUAUUCUGCUCUACCAAGUCCUGACUUCUCAACGGUAGAUUGAACUCCUCACUGACAUCAG